rnacentral:rRNA from 1 species
UACGGAGGGUGCAAGCGUUGCUCGGAAUUAUUGGGCGUAAAGCGCGUGUAGGCGGCUGGACAAGUCUGAUGUGAAAUCCUGGGGCUCAACCCCAGAACUGCAUCGGAUACUGUCUAGCUAGAGGAUGAGAGAGGAUGGUGGAAUUCCUGGUGUAGGGGUGAAAUCCGUAGAUAUCAGGAGGAACAUCGGUGGCGAAGGCGGCCAUCUGGCUCAUUUCUGACGCUGAGACGCAAAAGCGUGGGGAGCAAACAGG